rnacentral:rRNA from 1 species
UCUACGGGCGGCAGCAGUGAGGAAUAUUGGUCAAUGGACGGAAGUCUGAACCAGCCAUGCCGCGUGCAGGAUGACGGCUCUAUGAGUUGUAAACUGCUUUUGUACGAGAAUAAUAGUUCUUACGUGUAGGGCUUUGAAUGUAUCGUACGAAUAAGGAUCGACUAACUCCGUGCCAGCAGCCGCGGUAAUACGGAGGAUUCGAGCGUUAUCCGGAUUUAUUGGGUUUAAAGGGUGCGUAGGCUGUCGGAUAAGUUAGAGGUCAAAUGUCGGGGCUUAACCCCGUGCCUGCCUCUGAUACUGUUCGACUAGAGAGCGGAUGCAGCAGGCGGAAUGAGUAGUGUAGCGGUGAAAUGCAUAGAUAUCGCGCAGAACUCCGAUUGCGAAGGCAGCAUGCCGGCUCCACACUGACGCUGAGGCACGAAAGCGUGGGUAUCGAACAGGAUUAGAUACCCCUGUAGUC